UGGCUACGAUGUUUAGCUGGUCUGAGAGGAUGAUCAGCCACACUGGAACUGAGACACGGUCCAGACUCCUACGGGAGGCAGCAGUGGGGAAUAUUGCGCAAUGGAGGAAACUCUGACGCAGCAACGCCGUGUGAGGGAGGAAGGCUUUCGGGUCGUAAACCUCUGUCAAAAAGGAAAAAUGAUGUAGAUGUGAACAUUUACAUGUGAUGGUACUUUUAAAGGAAGCACCGGCUAACUUCGUGCCAGCAGCCGCGGUAAUACGAAGGGUGCAAGCGUUGUUCGGAUUUAUUGGGCGUAAAGCGCGCGCAGGCGGAUAGGUAAGUCAGAUGUGA
rnacentral:rRNA from 1 species